GAUGAACGCUGGCGGCGUGCCUAAUACAUGCAAGUCGAGCGAACAGACGAGGAGCUUGCUCCUCUGACGUUAGCGGCGGACGGGUGAGUAACACGUGGAUAACCUACCUAUAAGACUGGGAUAACUUCGGGAAACCGGAGCUAAUACCGGAUAAUAUAUUGAACCGCAUGGUUCAAUAGUGAAAGACGGUUUUGCUGUCACUUAUAGAUGGAUCCGCGCCGCAUUAGCUAGUUGGUAAGGUAACGGCUUACCAAGGCAACGAUGCGUAGCCGACCUGAGAGGGUGAUCGGCCACACUGGAACUGAGACACGGUCCAGACUCCUACGGGAGGCAGCAGUAGGGAAUCUUCCGCAAUGGGCGAAAGCCUGACGGAGCAACGCCGCGUGAGUGAUGAAGGUCCUCGGAUCGUAAAACUCUGUUAUUAGGGAAGAACAAAUGUGUAAGUAACUACGCACGUCUUGACGGUAUCUAAUCAGAAAGCCACGGCUAACUACGUG
rnacentral:rRNA from 1 species